rnacentral:rRNA from 1 species
GGCUUAGAUACCCUGGUAGUCCACGCUGUAAACGGUGGGUACUAGGUGUGGGGUCCAUUCCACGGGUUCCGUGCCGUAGCUAACGCUCUAAGUACCCCGCCUGGGGAGUACGGCCGCAAGGCUAAAACUCAAAGGAAUUGACGGGGCCCCGCACAAGCGGCGGAGCAUGCGGAUUAAUUCGAUGCAACGCGUAGAACCUUACCUGGGUUUGACAUGGAUCGGGAGCGCUCAGAGAUGGGUGUGCCUCUUUUGGGGUCGGUUCACAGGUGGUGCAUGGCUGUCGUCAGCUCGUGUCGUGAGAUGUUGGGUUAAGUCCCGCAACGAGCGCAACCCUUGUUCACUGUUGCCAGCACGUUAUGGUGGGGACUCAGUGGAGACCGCCGGGGUCAACUCGGAGGAAGGUGGGGAUGACGUCAAGUCAUCAUGCCCCUUAUGUCCAGGGCUUCACGCAUGCUACAAUGGCUGGUACAGAGAGUGGCGAGCCUGUGAGGGUGAGCGAAUCUCGGAAAGCCGGUCUCAGUUCGGAUUGGGGUCUGCAACUCGACCUCAUGAAGUCGGAGUCGCUAGUAAUCGCAGAUCAGCAACGCUGCGGUGAAUACGUUCCCGGGGCUUGUACACACCGCCCGUCAAGUCAUGAAAGUUGGUAACACCCGAAGCCGGUGGCCUAACCGUUGUGGGGGAGCCGUCGAAGGUGGGACUGGUGAUUAGGACU